rnacentral:misc_RNA from 1 species
AACGCACGAGACCUGCGGACCUGCGGAGGGAUCAUUACCGAGCCCCAUCCGGGCGUGAGGAGGCCUGUCCUCCCCCCGUCCGGGCGUUGGCCCACCCGUGCUUACCUGUACCUGUUGCCUCGGCGGCGGCUUGUCCCCGCCGGAGGACCACGCGAGAACCUAGCUGAAUCAGUGAUCUAGUCUGAGUGGAAUAUCAAAAUAGUUAAGCAAAACUUUCAACAACGGAUCUCUAGAUCGGAA